UUGGAGGUUCGAUAAUCGAUAAUCUCCCUGGGGUGCUAGCUCUUUUGCAAAGAUCUACUCCUGAUGGCUGAUCGAGCUCAUUCUUUAGAUCUCUCAGACUCUUUCAGGAGGAAAAGAAGGACUUUAGAAGAUAUGAGGUGGGAGGAAGAAGGUGGAGAAGGGAAACUCUUUUCUCUUCUUUUUCUCUCUUCCCAAAAUCCUAGAUGGAACCCUAGGUCUCUCACAUAAGAGGAGAUGUUUCUCCUCUGAUUUCUCAUACCAAAAUUGGAUGCCCACUCUAAUUUCUCACCAUGCUUCUUAGAUAC
rnacentral:lncRNA from 1 species